rnacentral:rRNA from 1 species
AACGAACGCUGGCGGCAUGCCUAAUACAUGCAAGUCGAACGAUCUCUUCGGAGAUAGUGGCGCACGGGUGCGUAACGCGUGGGAAUCUGCCCUUGGGUUCGGAAUAACGUCGGGAAACUGACGCUAAUACCGGAUGAUGACGUAAGUCCAAAGAUUUAUCGCCCAGGGAUGAGCCCGCGUAGGAUUAGCUAGUUGGUGAGGUAAAGGCUCACCAAGGCGACGAUCCUUAGCUGGUCUGAGAGGAUGAUCAGCCACACUGGGACUGAGACACGGCCCAGACUCCUACGGGAGGCAGCAGUAGGGAAUAUUGGACAAUGGGCGAAAGCCUGAUCCAGCAAUGCCGCGUGAGUGAUGAAGGCCUUAGGGUUGUAAAGCUCUUUUACUCGGGAUGAUAAUGACAGUACCGGGAGAAUAAGCCCCGGCUAACUCCGUGCCAGCAGCCGCCGCAG